rfam:Schistosoma rodhaini strain Burundi genome assembly, scaffold: SROB_scaffold0002111
AUCCAGCUGACGAAUCCUGAAUGAGACGAAACGCGCGUCCUGGAU